ACUCCUACGGGAGGCAGCAGUGGGAAUAUUGCGCAAUGGGGGCAACCCUGACGCAGCCAUGCCGCGUGUGUGAAGAAGGCCUUCGGGUUGUAAAGCACUUUCAGUGGGGAGGAAAGGGCCACGGCGAAUACCCGUGGCAGUUGACGUUACCCACAGAAGAAGCACCGGCUAACUCCGUGCCAGCAGCCGCGGUAAUACGGAGGGUGCGAGCGUUAAUCGGAAUUACUGGGCGUAAAGCGCGCGUAGGCGGUUUGUUAAGUCGGAUGUGAAAUCCCCGGGCUCAACCUGGGACGUGCACCCGAGACUGGCCGACUAGAGUACUGUAGAGGGGGUAGAAUUUCAGGUGUAGCGGUGAAAUGCGUAGAGAUCUGAAGGAAUACCGGUGGCGAAGGCGGCCCCCUGGACAGAUACUGACACUCAGAUGCGAAAGCGUGGGGAGCAAACAGGAUUAGAUACCCUGGUAGGCUCUGCU
rnacentral:rRNA from 1 species